CCUACGGGAGGCAGCAGUGAGGAAUAUUGGUCAAUGGGCGUAAGCCUGAACCAGCCAAGUCGCGUGCAGGAUGACGGCCCUAUGGGUUGUAAACUUCUUUUAUACGGGAAUAAAGUGUUCUACGUGUAGGGUUUUGUAUGUACCGUAUGAAUAAGGAUCGGCUAACUCCGUGCCAGCAGCCGCGGUAAUACGGAGGAUCCGAGCGUUAUCCGGAUUUAUUGGGUUUAAAGGGUGCGUAGGCGGCUUGUUAAGUCAGCUGUGAAAUUCUGAGGCUCAACCCUAGAAUUGCCGUUGAAACUGGCGGGCUUGAGUACGGUGGAGGCAGGCGGAAUUCGUGGUGUAGCGGUGAAAUGCUUAGAUAUGACGAAGAACACCGAUUGCGAAGGCAGCUUGCUGGACCGGAACUGACGCUGAUGCUCGAAAGCGUGGGUAUCGAACAGGAUUAGAUACCCUAGUAGUC
rnacentral:rRNA from 1 species